AACGUACUCCCUCCGUCCCAAAAUAAGUGACUCAAAAGUGAGUGAACUUUAGUACAAAGUUCACUCACUUUUGAGUCAAUUAUUUUGGGACGGAGGGAGUACAAA
rnacentral:pre_miRNA from 1 species